UACGUAGGCAGCAAGCGUUGUUCGGAAUUACUGGGCGUAAAGAGUGUGUAGGCGGUGUUCUAAGUUUGUCGUGAAAUCUCCCGGCUUAACUGGGAGGGUGCGGCGAAAACUGGAAUGCUAGAGGAUGGGAGAGGUAAGCGGAAUUCCUGGUGUAGCGGUGAAAUGCGUAGAUAUCAGGAAGAACACCCGUGGCUAAGGCGGCUCUCUAGUACGUGACUGACGCUGAGACGCGAAAGCGUGGGGAGCGAACAGG
rnacentral:rRNA from 1 species